rnacentral:ncRNA from 1 species
UGAUAGCGAUGAAGCGUGAGGUUGCUACCGUUUCGGUAGGUUUUCCGUGGAGCGAAUGUCAAGUUAGGAAACUGACGACAA